rnacentral:tRNA from 1 species
GAAGGUAUAGCUCAGUGGUAGAGUGCAUGCCUAGCAUGCAUGAGGUCCUGGGUUCAAUCCCCAGUAUCUCCA